rnacentral:misc_RNA from 1 species
GGAAAAAAGUUGAAACAGAGUUGGGAACCAAAAUGGUUCACUUGAAGAUGAGAUGCUGUAGCAUUGGUUCUGAAUGGGGAAAGGUUUCAUUGCUUGGUACCUCCGGGCUUGCGGGUUCCUACAUUGAAUACAGAGCUUGAUUGGGAGACACUCUCGGCAUCGUCAAUUUCUUCUACUUGGUCAUCGUGGAUGCUACGGUAUAGCCCUUGUAUGAAUGCAAUUCCUGUUUUCAAUAAUUUGGUGAAUUCGAUCAGCUCAAUUUCUGAGUGUACUAUUUACUGGGUAACAAGCUUUUGUAGAAUCAUGAUGUCUACUGGCCACCAUGACUAGGAUGGUACUGGAUUUGGCUGUUUGUUUCGUGAAAUUG